rnacentral:lncRNA from 1 species
UUUCCUUUCACCUACCAUGGUCAAGAGAAAGGUUUUUGACUCAGUCAUGCUUAUUCCUUUAUGUUAGGUUUAAUGCAACCCCUAGGAGUGACUUGCCACCUUCUCUCUUUCUCCUUUUAAUUUUUAUUUUUAUUUUCAGCAGCACUUAUUCUUAUCCUUGCCUGAAAAAGUCACUAACCUUUUUACGCGAUUGUGUACAUGGGUGAUACGCCCCCGGUUACUCAGUUAGUCACUUGUUCAAGUGGCUACUAGCUCUGUUCAUAGUCUAGACCAUCGAAACUUAUUUGCUUGAAAAAGUCACUGACCUUUUUACGCGAUUGUGUACAUGGGUGAUACA